GGCUAAAGUGCAGUGGCGCUAUCUUGGCUCACUUGAACUCCGCCUCCCGAGUUCAAGAGAUUCUCCUGCCUCAGCUGGAAUUACAGGCGUCUACCACCAUGUCCAGAGCAUCAUUUCUCAUAAAUUAGCUUUCUCAUCUCAACUGACUCACUUGGCAGAAACAAAUCUACAUGGUGUAGAAGAGAGAAGGCAGGGGAAUAGUUCAGAAGGAGUGAAAAGAGAUAAGUGAAGAGAUAAGUGGAAGAAGGGCAGUUUACUAAAUUAGAGGUACCAGCACCAUCGUAUGACGAAUUUACUGAAAAAUCCAGAUUGGAAUUUUUUGAAAUCAGGAAUGAGAGAAGUUGAGCUGUUCCACAUCAUAUUAGGCAUAACAGUAAUUCUUAAAAUUUUUGCCAAGAGCUACCUUUGAGGGUAUGAUGAAAACUAUAGACCCUCUGCUGAGAAAAAAAAUGUAUAUAUGACUUACACACAAAAUCCUAUUAUAUUAGAACAACUAGUUAUGAUACCUGAGAUGGAACCAAUUAGUCACAACACACACACAAUAAACUGUAUAUUCCUGAUCUCUUGACUGUCAUAAAAUUGUUCUUGCAUCU
rnacentral:lncRNA from 1 species